rnacentral:tRNA from 1 species
GUCCCUGUAGCUCAAUGGUAGCGCGUUGGACUUCUAAUCCAAAGGUUGUGGAUUCAAAUCCCACCUGGGGUG